UACGUAGGGGGCAAGCGUUGUCCGGAAUCAUUGGGCGUAAAGAGCGCGUAGGCGGCCCUGUAAGUCCGCUGUGAAAGUCAAGGGCUCAACCCUUGGAUGCCGGUGGAUACUGCAGGGCUAGAGUCCGGAAGAGGCGAGUGGAAUUCCUGGUGUAGCGGUGAAAUGCGCAGAUAUCGGGAGGAACACCUAUGGCGAAGGCAGCUCGCUGGGACGUUACUGACGCUGAGACGCGAAAGCGUGGGGAGCAAACAGG
rnacentral:rRNA from 1 species